CCUACGGGAGGCUGCAGUGGGGAAUAUUGCUCAAUGGGGGAAACCCUGAAGCAGCAACGCCGCGUGGAGGAUGAAGGUUCUCGGAUUGUUAACUCCUUUUGUUAGAGAAGAUAAUGACGGUAUCUAACGAAUAAGCACCGGCUAACUCCGUGCCAGCAGCCGCGGUAAUACGGAAGGUGCAAGCGGUACUCGGAAUCACUGGGCGUAAAGAGCGCGGAGGCGGGAUAGCAAGUCAGAUGUGAAAUCCUAUGGCUUAACCAUAGAACUGCAGUUGAAACUGGUAUUCUAGAGUAUGGGAGAGGUAGGUGGAAUUCUUGGUGUAGGGGUAAAAUCCGUAGAGAUCAAGAGGAAUACUCAUUGCGAAGGCGACCUGCUAGAACAUAACUGACGCUGAUGCGCGAAAGCGUGGGGAGCAAACAGGAUUAGAUACCCCAGUAGUC
rnacentral:rRNA from 1 species